rnacentral:rRNA from 1 species
UAACAAGGAUUCCCCUAGUAACUGCGAGUGAAGCGGGAAGAGCUCAAAUUUAAAAUCUGGCGGCUUUCAGUCGUCCGAGUUGUAAUCUGGAGAGGCAUUUUCCGCGUUGGACCGUGUACAAGUCUCCUGGAACGGAGCGUCAUAGAGGGUGAGAAUCCCGUCCAUGACACGGACCGCCAGUGCUCUGUGAUAUGCCUUCGAAGAGUCGCGUUGUUUGGGAAUGCAGCGCAAAAUGGGUGGUAAAUUCCAUCUAAAGCUAAAUAUUGGCGAGAGACCGAUAGCGAACAAGUACCGUGAGGGAAAGAUGAAAAGCACUUUGAAAAGAGAGUUAAACAGUACGUGAAAUUGUUGAAAGGGAAACGCUUGAAGUCAGUCGCGUUCCGUGGAACUCAGCCUUACUUUGGUUUGGUGUACUUUCCAUGCGAACGGGUCAACGUCAAUUUCGGCCGGUGGACAAAGGCAAGGGGAAUGUAGCGUCGCUUCGGUGACGUGUUAUAGCCUCUUGUUGUAUACACCGGCUGGGAUUGAGGACCGCAGCACGCCCUUUGUGGCCGGGAGGUUCGCCUCUACGUACCGUGCUUAGGAUGUUGGCAUAAUGGCUUUAAGCGACCCGUCUUGAAACACGGACCAAGGAGUCUAACAUGCUUGCGAGUGUUCGGGUGGAAAACCCUUGCGCGCAAUGAAAGUGAAAGUUAGGAGCCCUUCUCUCUGUGGAGGGGUGCACUGACGCCCGGCCCUGAAGUUCUCUGACGGUGCUGCGGUAGAGCAAGUACGUUGGGACCCGAAAGAUGGUGAACUAUGCCUGAAUAGGGCGAAGCCAGAGGAAACUCUGGUGGAGGCUCGUAGCGAUUCUGACGUGCAAAUCGAUCGUCAAAUUUGGG